rnacentral:lncRNA from 1 species
GCGGUGAAUACUAAUGUCUAUCGAUGUCUAAGUCUAAGUCCAAGAGUGAGUCUUUAACUUUAGUGUCUGUAUAUAUAUAGUUGUCAUGGAAGAUUCUAGAACAGUCUAUAAUGGAACAUUCUAGAAAGUUACAACAGAAGUUUCUAGUAAAAUGUAGAAGUUUAUAUAACGCAUCUUUUAUUAGGAUCAUUCUGGAAAGUUCCAAUCAUUCUGUAAUUGUUUCAGUGAUUUCUAAACUGCACAGUUCUAAGAUUAUUCUGUAAACAACUAUCAGGCC